UAAGUACUCCCUCCAUCCGAAAAUACUUGUCCUACAAAUAAGAUUUAGACUUAUUUUAAUUAUAGAUACAUCCAUUUUAUUUAUUUUUAGAACAAGUAUUUUCGGACGGAGGGAGUAGUUA
rfam:Hordeum vulgare subsp. vulgare, WGS project CAJW01000000 data, contig: morex_contig_90950